UCUUUCCUACACCGACACAGACGUCCAUCACUACUGAGAAAUCUCCUGCAGGUCAGUUCAGUUUAUUUUAUCUGCUGCUGUUUAUCUCUGUUACACUUUCUCAUGACAGAAGUUUAAUGUGUUUUAUGUUACACUUCUUUAAAUUCUAAUGAACACAGGAUCUUAUAUGAGGUGCUGAUAGAGACAGACACAGAGUCCAUAACAAACUGAUCUCUAAUGAGUGAUAAACACUCUCUGAUACAUAAGUUACAUUUAAUCAUGUGACUCAGCUUUUAUUUGGUUUGAUUCUGUACCUUUAGUGAGUUUUUUGAAUAAGUAAAAUUAUUUGUUGUAAUUUUUUCAACUAUUUAUUUUUCUUCAGAUCAGAAACCGAUACUAAACAUCAUUUUUGAUGAUCAACUUGAUAAAUUCACAUUUCUAUGUGAAAUACCAGAGUCCGAGUCAGUAACUGCUGAUUUUAGCUGUAAUCUCUACACUGGAGAAAAUCCUCAGCCUUAUCUAAAGACACAUUUUCAAAAGAGAAAAUCUGGGAAGCUGCAUUGUAUUUUUUCAGCACAGAGAAAUGAUGUGUUUAAUCGUCUGCAGUCAGUAAAGAGCAGUGAAGUGAGCUGUGAUUAUUCACUGAUCUCUGACCCGACUGCUCUCUCUCUAAUGAGUGAUAAAUACAAUCUGAUACAUUUUGUUCCAACACAGUCACCCACAACUGAAAAAUCCACUUCAGAUGCGACACUGGUAACGACACCAACAUCCAUAUUUACAGCUUCUCCAGUUUUUUCAACUGCUCUGAUCACCACAAAGCACAUAAACACUCAUUUGACUUCUGAAGUUUUCUCUUCAAUAUCAUCCACAACUAAAGAGAAAACUACUUCAG